GAUGAACGCUGGCGGCGUGCCUAAUACAUGCAAGUCGAGCGAACAGACGAGAGUGCUUGCACUCUCUGACGUUAGCGGCGGACGGGUGAGUAACACGUGGGUAACCUACCUAUAAGACUGGGAUAACUUCGGGAAACCGGAGCUAAUACCGGAUAAUAUUUAGCUUCGCAUGAAGCAAUAGUGAAAGACGGUUCUGCUGUCACUUAUAGAUGGACCCGCGGUGUAUUAGCUAGUUGGUGAGGUAACGGCUCACCAAGGCAACGAUACAUAGCCGACCUGAGAGGGUGAUCGGCCACACUGGGACUGAGACACGGCCCAGACUCCUACGGGAGGCAGCAGUAGGGAAUCUUCCGCAAUGGACGAAAGUCUGACAGAGCAAUGCCGCGUGAGUGAAGAAGGUUUUCGGAUCGUAAAACUCUGUUGUAAGGGAAGAACAAGUACGUUAGUAACUGAACGUACCUUGACGGUACCUUACCAGAAAGCCACGGCUAACUACG
rnacentral:rRNA from 1 species